rnacentral:lncRNA from 1 species
CCAGGGCUGCUCCAGGGCACAACUCCAGGAGAUACCGUUCACAUCAUAGCCACGUGAAUGGACCCCCCGAGAAUCGUGCAGGCACAACCUGCAACCACCAAACGCUGUCCUGGGACCGCUCAGAAACACUGAGAACAGCCUGGUGCUUUCUACACACUGUGAUCUCUCUCUCCCUCCCCCUCUCUCUCUCCUGGUUCUAAGAGACCUCCGCACUCACAAACAGAGCAACUAUGUGCUAUCGUGUGGUUUGCUUUUUCAGGAUAUUCACCUGCCUCCUCGCCUUCUCACAGAUGCCUGAUGUCACUUUAAUGAGUUCUGCCUUCAGUGACAAGCCUUUACGUGCAAAUACACUUGGAAUGAACCCCCACCCCCAAUUCUAAGGGUAAAAACAAUGAGGAAUAUAAAGAUCACAGAGGGCUUAACAAAGG